CCCUUAGAUGUUCUGGGCCGCACGCGCGCUACACUGGUACGUUCAACAAGUUUACAACCUUGACCGAAAGGUCUGGGUAAUCUUUUGAAUGUGUACCGUGCUAGGGAUAGAUUAUUGCAAUUAUUAAUCUUGAACGAGGAAUUCCUAGUAAACGCAAGUCAUCAGCUUGCAUUGAUUACGUCCCUGCCCUUUGUACACACCGCCCGUCGCACCUACUGAUUGAAUGACUCGGUGAAAAAUCGGGACUGCGAGAACAAUCGAUUAAUUUCGAAUGUACUUGUGGGAACUUUUUUUAACCUCGCCAUUUAGAAGAAGGUGAAGUCGUAACA
rnacentral:rRNA from 1 species